ensembl:piRNA 21ur-11249 ncRNA
UAAUGAGAGCUUUUGAAAUAG